GCGGAUUCAUGGGGAAAAAAUAUUGUGAAUCUUCCAACCCGGCAAUAAUAAAAGCUGGAGUAUGUAUUUUAUGUACAAAUUCUGCCAGCUGGUCGACGGUUUUACUGUCCCAAGAACAUCAGCAGCAGAAUUUGAUAACCAUGUUCGAACUAAAGGCGGUAGAAGUGCAGUAAUCGUCGAAUUUGCCCUCGCCUGUUUAAAAAAAAAUGCUACUACCAUAACGCAGCUGAGCCGCUGAUGUUUAAGUUGUUAUUCCAAAACUUGGUUCACGAAAUCGCGCAGGAUUUUUACGGUUCCGAAGUGUUACUGGCAGUCCCGCUGGAACCCAGCGGAACUUGCCUGACUGGGAUGUUCAACACCCGCCUGUACGUGAUCCACGCGAACCGCAUGCUAAAGUAAAAAAAAACUUAUCCAGUCCAGAAAUUCGUUUAUUUGCUGGCUCCGCUUGACCAGUUGGCGCUAAUACCAGUGGGGUCCAUUCCGCCAUCCGUGCCUCUGCGGAGAACAUUUGACAUCUACUUUUCAAGGUAAGCCGGCUCUUUGACCAUUGUUUAAUCCACGUAACCAUUUGUUUAAAAACGUCAUUCAGGAAAGUGUCCUACCACUGGUGGAACCGCGUCGUUGUCGACGUUAAUAAUAACAAUAAAAAGGACAAGCUGAUAUGUUUGCCAGGCGCAUCCAACUAAAAGGAGCU